AUUGAACGCUGGCGGCAUGCUUUACACAUGCAAGUCGAACGGUAACAGGGUGCUUGCACCGCUGACGAGUGGCGAACGGGUGAGUAAUGCGUCGGAACGUGCCGAGUAGUGGGGGAUAACGCAGCGAAAGUAGUGCUAAUACCGCAUACGUACUGAGGUAGAAAGUGGGGGACCUUCGGGCCUCACGCUAUUCGAGCGGCCGACGUCUGAUUAGCUAGUAGGUGAGGUAAAGGCUCACCUAGGCGACGAGCAGUAGCGGGUCUGUGAGGAUGAUCCGCACCACUGAGACUGAGGCACGGCGCAGCCUCCUACGGGAGGUAGCAGUGGGGAAUUUUGGACAAUGGGCGGAAGCCUGAUCGAGCCAUGCCGCGUGUCUGAAGAAGGCGUUCGGGUUGUAAAGGACUUUUGUCAGGGAGGAAAUCCCUAGUGCUAAUAACACUGGGGGAUGACAGUACCUGAAGAAUAAGCACCGGCUAAGUACGUGCCAGCAGCCGCGGGAA
rnacentral:rRNA from 1 species